UACGUAGGGUGCAAGCGUUGUCCGGAAUUAUUGGGCGUAAAGAGCUCGUAGGCGGUCUGUCGCGUCUGCUGUGAAAACUCAGGGCUUAACCCUGAGCUUGCAGUGGGUACGGGCAGACUAGAGUGCGGUAGGGGAGACUGGAAUUCUCGGUGUAGCGGUGAAAUGCGUAGAUAUCGAGAGGAACACCUGCGGCGAAGGCGGGUAGCUGGGCCGACACUGACGCUGAGGCGCGAAAGCCAGGGGAGCGAACGGG
rnacentral:rRNA from 1 species